rnacentral:ncRNA from 1 species
UAAUUGGAGAGUUUGAUCCUGGCUCAGAAUGAACGCUGGCGGCGUGCUUAACACAUGCAAGUCGUACGAGAACUCUUUAGCUUGCUAAAGAUAGUAAAGUGGCAUGUAAGCUGUUGUUUGGAGAUGAGCCCGCGUACCAUUAGCUUGUUGGUAGGGUAAUGGCCUACCAAGGCAACGAUGGUUAGCUGGUCUGAGAGGAUGAUCAGCCACACUGGAACUGACACACGGUCCAGACUCCUACGGGAGGCAGCAGUGAG